AGGCAGCAGUGGGGAAUUUUGGACAAUGGGGGAAACCCUGAUCCAGCCAUGCCGCGUGAGUGAAGAAGGCCUUCGGGUUGUAAAGCUCUUUCAGCCGGAAAGAAAUCGCACUGGUUAAUACCUUGUGUGGAUGACGGUACCGGAAGAAGAAGCACCGGCUAACUACGUGCCAGCAGCCGCGGUAAUACGUAGGGUGCGAGCGUUAAUCGGAAUUACUGGGCGUAAAGCGUGCGCAGGCGGUUUUGUAAGACAGAUGUGAAAUCCCCGGGCUUAACCUGGGAACUGCAUUUGUGACUGCAAGGCUAGAGUACGGCAGAGGGGGGUAGAAUUCCACGUGUAGCAGUGAAAUGCGUAGAUAUGUGGAGGAAUACCGAUGGCGAAGGCAGCCCCCUGGGUCGAUACUGACGCUCAUGCACGAAAGCGUGGGGAGCAAACAGGAUUAGAUACCCUGGUAG
rnacentral:rRNA from 1 species